AACCGUAUAAGUACACAAACAGCCAGGGUAUAAAAACCCCACUGAAUUGCAACAAACUGGGACCAAAUCUGCAGAGCUGUCCCCAGGAAGGGUAAAGUAUCAAUCUUUGCUUGUGUUCUGUAUAGUCCUGAUUAAUCUUAGAUGUAGUCUUUGAUUAAUAAAUUGAUUGAACUUGAUUUGAUGUCUUGUUGAUCAGUGAUACAAAUCUAAUCCCUCUUACAAUUUUGUCCUACUUAAGGAGAUGUGUAGGAACUUUAUAUCUUACUUCUGCAAGAAGAGAGAGAGCUUGAACACUGUAUAUUGAGGGAGCAGAGGCGGACACCAUUGAAGAUGGUACGAGUGAAGCAUCUGAAAAAGACAAAAUGUUUGAUUUGCAUUUUGAAGCAGAACUUACUGUGGCAAACCUAUAAGUUUCAGGAUUUGUUUGGUUUCCAUCUGGGUUAUACCUUGCAUAGUGAGUUGCAGUGAAGUAUUGCUGGGAACCCUGCCAGCUCCUUAUAUACAUGCCCACCCUUGAUCUUACAGGGAUUAUACAUUGUAUCAUUUUAAACUUCCUUAAAGCCAUAAACAUAGGCCAGUUUCCAAUAAACAGGUGUUAACAGAGCUAUCAUGUCUGCGGAUACAAGCUUCUAUCCUCAGAUCUUUAAGUUACAGGAUUUGAAAAAGAAGAGUAAAUGAUUAUUGGAGACAGACAAUGCACUAUUGGUCACAUUACACAUGCGCAUUAUACAAGUAUCGAUGAUUUGAAAAUUCUGCAGCCUCUAUCUGAAUGCUUUACAUUUACUAAAGACCUUAGGAAAAAUGAAAAAUUUACUAGAAAACACUUAUUCAGCAACGUUCCUUAGUCAAAAAGGGGCAUAUUUUUCACAGAUGAUUUGAAUGGAUUUAUGAACCAAGGGUAUAAAAGGCAACAUGUACCGACCUGUAACUCUCCAUUUCCUACCCUACUGCGGAUCAGGUGAAGGUCCAAGCACAAGGAAAGGAGGGCAGACUGUGGACUACCCACAGGGACCACACAUCUCAAAGAACUUCAGUGAUUAUAAGAUCACCGAGAGGGGAAUUCCAGAAAGGAAGCCACCGAGGCAGCCUGAGCUCCAGGUGAGCGAGCCGUGACAGUCUGAAGGAGGGAUGCAGCCUGAAAUCCAUUUAUAGAGCCUUUGGGAAGACUGCUUCUUCCUUCAUACCUCUUGGCAAACGGAGAUGAAUUCAGAUUCAAUCGGAUAAUUAUAUAGCAUGUGUGGGGGUUAAAACGGACUUUCCUGGAUUUUACUUGAAGUCCCAAAGAGUGAAAGUGGUGACUGCAGCCUGCACUUCCUGAUACGACCAUCCCAUGAGCAGCCAAUGCUCUAGGAAGGAACCUACUGGGGUAUCUUGUUGAUGCAGGUUGUUACCUGAAUCACCGUGGGGAAACCCAAGGAUUGCAACCAAGAAGCCUGGCUCAUAACUACCAAGGUUGCCAUGGAACAGGAAGCCACGUCCUCUGCAUCGAGUGAUGCUUGAAUGGACAAUCUGGCAACCAGUUGCCUUUUGUCCAGGAUGGCCUGGAAUUGGGGCCUAUGUUCCUGUAGUAUCUUAUUAGCAAAUUACGACAGUAUAUUGUAAUUAAUAAAGUCAUAUUUGGACAUUAAUUCCUGGUAAUUUGCUAUUUGCAGUUUCAGUUCAAAUGCUCUGUGUAAAUCAAAUGCUCUGUAUAAAUCAAUCCUGUUUUGUGUGUGAAUGAGGAAUGUGUGUGUUAGAAGAUAAGUGUGGAGGCCAUCACUGGACCAGAUGGUCUAGGGAGGAAUCGAGGACACACGUAAGGGCGCCAGGAGAUUGCAACACGUCCCUAUUGAAAUGUCAGAGGAGGACAGAUUGACCACUCUAAAGAUGAGACAGGCAUCUAUCAAAGGGGACAAGAUAGCUGUGAUCAAAACCAGCAUGGGAUAACUCCCUGAGAGACUUAAUGAAAGAACAAGAUAAAGAAUGAGAAGGACAAUUUAAGAAAACAAGCACUCAAACGACAAUUGAGUACAGCAUGAUGGUGCAAAACCCAUUGGUCCCAAUGAAGGAAAAUCACUAUAUAUAAAUGGGGGGCCUUACCAUGAAACUUUGGGUUCGUCCUGCCAAGACUUCCCCAGAGCAUCGUGUUGCGACCGACGGAACCCAGCUCCUCCCUACCCAUGAUCAACCUAGCUGGCCACUAGAUUGAUCCAGACUCUGGACUGGUAACUAUAACAUCAACCGGUGCGACUGUGUGUGAGUGAGUGUGAGAGAGAUUGAAUGCAUAUGCUAAUUGUUGUAUUUCCGCUAAAUGCGGCAUAUUGCCUUCUCCCCUGAAAAAGAUCCCGUGUGCUUCUUAUAAGCAUAACACCUGCCUGUCCAAUUGGAGCCAGCCAACAUGGGAUUGAGCAUCCUGGGUCUAGCCCUGUUGUAAGUAUCUGAUCAAUACAUAUAACUACACGUUAUUGUAUAAAUGUGAUAAUUGCUUAGGCAUUCAAAACCCAUUUGGAACAGCUAUAUAAAUAUCAUUUGACCUCUGAAUUUAAUAAAGGAAU